AGAGAGAGACAUGCGCGCAUAUCAAUAAGCGGAGGAAAAGGAACUAACUAGGAUUCCCUCAGUAACGGCGAGUGAAGCGGGAAGAGCUCAAAUUUGAAAUCUUAAAGGUUUCCCUUGACGAAUUGUAGUUUAAAGAAGUGUUUUCUGUUGGAGUUUCGGUAAAAGUUCUUUGGAAUAGGACAUCAUAGAGGGUGAGAAUCCCGUAUUUGACCAUUACUUUCCAACUUUGUGAUACACUUUCAAAGAGUCGGAUUGUUUGGGAAUGCAGUCCAAAAUGGGUGGUAUAUUUCAUCUAAAGCUAAAUACUUGGCGAGAGACCGAUAGCGAACAAGUACCGUGAGGGAAAGAUGAAAAGAACUUUGAAAAGAGAGUUAAACAGUACGUGAAAUUGUCAAAAGGGAAGCGUUUGACACCAGUGUUGUUUUCUCGAAAAUCAAUUAAAAAUGACAUGGAUUUUGUGUUGUAUUGACUUUAUCAGCUUUCUGCACUCUUUUCUUGUCUUUUUUAAUGCACUUUUCGUUUAACAAGUCAACAUCAAUUUCUUUUGUUGUAAAAGGGUCAUUGGAAGGUGGCUUUCUUUUCGGAGAAAGUGUUUAUAGCCUUUGGCCUCUGCAAUCGGAGAGACUGAGGUCUGCAGCGUAGACUCUUCGGGGUUAGAUAGCAUUUGUGCUAAGCUAUAGCUUUUCAUAGACAACUUGUUGACUAUAGUUUAGUCUUGUAGCUUACUCGCUGAUGCUAUUUUACCUACGCUUAGGAUGUUGACAGCAGUAUAGACUGU
rnacentral:rRNA from 1 species